AGGGUGACGAAGCGACGCCGCGUGUGGGAAGAAGGCCUUCGGGUUGUAAACCACUGUCGGGAGUUAAGAAAUGCAAGGAUAUUAAUAGUGUCUUUGUUUGACUAAGGCUCCGGAGGAAGCCACGGCUAACUCUGUGCCAGCAGCCGCGGUAAUACAGAGGCGGCAAGCGUUGUUCGGAAUUAUUGGGCGUAAAGAGCACGUAGGCGGCUAUGUAAGUCGGUUGUGAAAGCCUUCCGCUCAACGGAAGAACAGCAUCCGAUACUACAUGGCUUGAGUGCGGGAGGGGAGAGUGGAACUUCUGGUGGAGCGGUGAAAUGCGUAGAUAUCAGAAGGAACGCCGGCGGCGAAAGCGGCUCUCUGGCCCAUAACUGACGCUGAGUGUGCGAAAGCUAGGGGAGCAAACGGGAUUAGAUACCCCGGUAGUCCUAGCCGUAAACGAUGGGCACUAAGUAGAGGGGUUUU
rnacentral:rRNA from 1 species